UGGCUCAGAUUGAACGCUGGCGGCAGGCCUAACACAUGCAAGUCGAGCGGAUGAAAGGAGCUUGCUCCUGGAUUCAGCGGCGGACGGGUGAGUAAUGCCUAGGAAUCUGCCUGGUAGUGGGGGACAACGUUUCGAAAGGAACGCUAAUACCGCAUACGUCCUACGGGAGAAAGCAGGGGACCUUCGGGCCUUGCGCUAUCAGAUGAGCCUAGGUCGGAUUAGCUAGUUGGUGAGGUAAUGGCUCACCAAGGCGACGAUCCGUAACUGGUCUGAGAGGAUGAUCAGUCACACUGGAACUGAGACACGGUCCAGACUCCUACGGGAGGCAGCAGUGGGGAAUAUUGGACAAUGGGCGAAAGCCUGAUCCAGCCAUGCCGCGUGUGUGAAGAAGGUCUUCGGAUUGUAAAGCACUUUAAGUUGGGAGGAAGGGUUGUAGAUUAAUACUCUGCAAUUUUGACGUUACCGACAGAAUAAGCACCGGCUAACUCUGUGCCAGCAGCCGCGGUAAUACAGAGGGUGCAAGCGUUAAUCGGAAUUACUGGGCGUAAAGCGCGCGUAGGUGGUUUGUUAAGUUGGAUGUGAAAUCCCCGGGCUCAACCUGGGAACUGCAUCCAAAACUGGCAAGCUAGAGUAUGGUAGAGGGUGGUGGAAUUUCCUGUGUAGCGGUGAAAUGCGUAGAUAUAGGAAGGA
rnacentral:rRNA from 1 species